GCGAAGGUGGCGGAAUUGGCAGACGCACUAGCUUGAGGUGCUAGCGGGUAACACCGUGGGGGUUCAAGUCCCCCCCUUCGCAC
rnacentral:tRNA from 1 species